GCUGGGUGUGGUGGCGCACGCCUGUAAUCCUAGCACUUUGGGAAGCUGAGGCGGGUGGAUCACCUGAGGUCAGGAGUUCAAGACCAGCCUGGCCAACAAGGCGAAACUCCGUCUCUA
ensembl:misc_RNA Metazoa_SRP Metazoan signal recognition particle RNA